AUCUCAGUGGCCUUUGUUUGUUGAGGCAGGGUCUUGUGUAGCCAACGGUGACCUUGAAUUUCUUAUCUUCCCGCCAACACCUCUUGAGUGCUAGGAUUACAGCCAAAUCCACUCUAGUUGUCUUACCUGGCUCUAGGUAAACCCAGGGCUGAUGCAAACACUCUAACCAACUGAACUUCAUCCCUAGCUCUUGUCUGCCAUUUAACUGAGUCUUUUCUAUUAAAGCCCUGGUUUCUCUGGCAAAGGAAAGCAAAUAUACAGGGUUGUGUUUUUCAGCCCGGAAGUACAAGAUAGACAUUUGCAUCUGACAAAACAGAGUCCUCAGAGCUCUGCCACUGCCUCUGUGAAGGGCUCCUCUUCCCCUGUAGUCCUAGAUUCCCCAAAUAUAAAUGCUAUGUUCCUGGUAGCACAGACUAGAGAGAGACAGCUAGCGGACUGCCCAAGGAGAGGGGAGCCCACCCAGCUGGGCAUGUAAGCUUCACAGAUGAAAUAUUAGUUCAAAAGAUCAGUCUUUUACCUGGCAGAUGGCGGACAGUCUCUGGCAACAAGUGCUGAUAGGUAUUGAACAUUCCCGCAUUGGAGAUGACAACUGGGCAGUAGAUGUUCACCAGCUCUUGUCCCUUCUUCACACUGACACCUGCAGGCACAAGAAUUUGGCUGAGCUUCUAUGAGCUCUGUGGAAACAAAAAAGACCUAUACCAUUCUCUAGAUCCCUCUUAAGGGCUAGGAAUACAGCUCAGGUGGAAAGCGCUUGUCUAACAUGUAUGAAGCCCUAGGUUCCGUGCACCCCAUACCCACCAUAAAACAAACACAACCCAGGAAAGUGUGAAAUACAUUUCUCUCAAAGCAUUAGCUGUAGUCGCAGCAUGAUGACAUGUUCCUGCAAUCCUAGCAUGUAGGAGGUAGACGCCAUAUAAUCAGGAAUUCGAAGGUCAGCCUCAGCUAGCUAGUGAGUUUGAGGAUAGCCUGAAACACAUGAAAUCCUGCCUCAAAAUAUUAGUUCUGUCUAUAGCCACACUAUCCAGAUGUCUCCUAGGGUAGGCCCUGUUUUCUCAGACCUAGAAGUUCCUCCAGCCAAAGCAGGUCCCAGGCACACUGCAAAGUCACUUAGCCCUUGCCUCAAAUGCUUCUGUGCUUGCCCUCUCUAGCUCUUCUUACCCACCCAUAUGGACUUACCUUAGCCACGCCCUGCCGUCCCAAGAACACUGGCUCUAUGGAGUCCCAGCCCCUCCUUCCCUGCUGCCAAGUUCCACAUCUACAGUACUCCCCAGAUGACUCAACCUUCAUGAAACACCAAGGCUUCUGUGAUGUACUGAAGCCUGUGUGUCCAACCUCAUCUCUGGCCACUCACAAAACCAUUAUGUCAGACCUGACCUUUUGUAAGAAUUGUAGUUUGAUUCCUUCAUUGUGUGUGUGUGUGGGGGGGGUGGGGGUAGGAGUGCUACAGCCCAUGUGUGGAGGUCAGAGGACAACUUGCCAGAGUUCUCUCCUUCCACCAUGUAGGCUGUGGGGAUCAUCAGGUUUAGUGAGUGACUAGACCAUUUAUCCACUGAGCUAUCUCACCGGCUCAGACGCCAGCCUCUUACCGUGCAUAAACAGGCUGGCUUCCACCCCAGCCCACUGACCCCACAGCCCAGUACAGAUCUCUUACCACACGCUCUCCCAGCUGAGUCCAGCAGCACACUCUGUACAGUGGCCCUGGUGAGGACAGCGCCCCCGGCCCGCUGAAUCAAAGGGAUGGUAUGGAAGGCGAUCUCACUGGAACCCCCUCGAGGGUAAUAUGCCCCUUGUAUGUAGUGGUCAACCAGCAGAGCAUGCAAGGAAAAGGCGGUGUGGCUGGGAGUUACUCCUACAGGAUGAAGGAAAGAAGAUGAGCAUAGUGGUCAUUUGGCACCAUUCAGGAAGAAAUAGGGCUUCCUGUGAGGGACCACAAGAGUCCAUCCUAGGAUGAGAAUGCUCCCAAAGGCCCAGGGUAGGUAAUGAGCUUAGUGGAAUAUAAAACCAUUAUGCUUCCAAGACCAAAGAAGUCACUGACACUGUUGGCUAAAGAGAAAAAUCAACCUUGAGCAGUGUACAUGCCUAUAAUCUCACACUCAAAAGCUACACCAGAAGGAUCAUUGAUUCAAAGCCAUACUAAGCUACGGAGAGAUCUAGACCAGCCUGAGCAAAGUCAAAACUUUUCCUGGAGGUGUAGGGGACAGGGAGAAAAUGCACUUGGGUGGGCUCAGCUGGAUGUCUUCCUAACAUGCAUGAAAGCCUGGAUUUGAUCUCCAGCACCACAUACCCCAGACAUGGUGGCACAUACCUAGCACUAGGAAGGUAGAGGCAGAAGGAUAAGGAAUUUAAGGACAUCCUCAACUACAAGAGUUCAAAGCUUGCCUGGAAGACCUUGUCUUCAAAAAGGAAGAGAAAACAAAACAGAAGAAGAAGAAAAGAUACAAGAGAGAAGAACAAAAGAUAACGUUCCAUAAAGUAAAUAAUAAAUCAUUUUUACCAGAG
rnacentral:lncRNA from 1 species